AGAGUUUGAUCAUGGCUCAGGACGAACGCUGGCGGCGUGCUUAACACAUGCAAGUCGAACGAUGAACCACUUCGGUGGGGAUUAGUGGCGAACGGGUGAGUAACACGUGGGCAAUCUGCCCUGCACUCUGGGACAAGCCCUGGAAACGGGGUCUAAUACCGGAUACUGACCCGCUUGGGCAUCCAAGCGGUUCGAAAGCUCCGGCGGUGCAGGAUGAGCCCGCGGCCUAUCAGCUAGUUGGUGAGGUAAUGGCUCACCAAGGCGACGACGGGUAGCCGGCCUGAGAGGGCGACCGGCCACACUGGGACUGAGACACGGCCCAGACUCCUACGGGAGGCAGCAGUGGGGAAUAUUGCACAAUGGGCGAAAGCCUGAUGCAGCGACGCCGCGUGAGGGAUGACGGCCUUCGGGUUGUAAACCUCUUUCAGCAGGGAAGAAGCGAAAGUGACGGUACCUGCAGAAGAAGCGCCGGCUAACUACGUGCCAGCAGCCGCGGUAAUACGUAGGGCGCGAGCGUUGUCCGGAAUUAUUGGGCGUAAAGAGCUCGUAGGCGGCUUGUCACGUCGGUUGUGAAAGCCCGGGGCUUAACCCCGGGUCUGCAGUCGAUACGGGCAGGCUAGAGUUCGGUAGGGGAGAUCGGAAUUCCUGGUGUAGCGGUGAAAUGCGCAGAUAUCAGGAGGAACACCGGUGGCGAAGGCGGAUCUCUGGGCCGAUACUGACGCUGAGGAGCGAAAGCGUGGGGAGCGAACAGGAUUAGAUACCCUGGUAGUCCACGCCGUAAACGGUGGGCACUAGGUGUGGGCGACAUUCCACGUCGUCCGUGCCGCAGCUAACGCAUUAAGUGCCCCGCCUGGGGAGUACGGCCGCAAGGCUAAAACUCAAAUGAAUUGACGG
rnacentral:rRNA from 1 species